GUAGGGUGCAAGCGUUAAUCGGAAUUACUGGGCGUAAAGCGUGCGCAGGCGGUUCGGAAAGAAAGAUGUGAAAUCCCAGAGCUUAACUUUGGAACUGCAUUUUUAACUACCGGGCUAGAGUGUGUCAGAGGGAGGUGGAAUUCCGCGUGUAGCAGUGAAAUGCGUAGAUAUGCGGAGGAACACCGAUGGCGAAGGCAGCCUCCUGGGAUAACACUGACGCUCAUGCACGAAAGCGUGGGGAGCAAA
rnacentral:rRNA from 1 species